rnacentral:rRNA from 1 species
UGGGGAAUAUUGCACAAUGGGCGCAAGCCUGAUGCAGCCAUGCCGCGUGUAUGAAGAAGGCCUUCGGGUUGUAAAGUACUUUCAGCGGGGAGGAAGGGAGUAAAGUUAAUACCUUUGCUCAUUGACGUUACCCGCAGAAGAAGCACCGGCUAACUCCGUGCCAGCAGCCGCGGUAAUACGGAGGGUGCAAGCGUUAAUCGGAAUUACUGGGCGUAAAGCGCACGCAGGCGGUUUGUUAAGUCAGAUGUGAAAUCCCCGGGCUCAACCUGGGAACUGCAUCUGAUACUGGCAAGCUUGAGUCUCGUAGAGGGGGGUAGAAUUCCAGGUGUAGCGGUGAAAUGCGUAGAGAUCUGGAGGAAUACCGGUGGCGAAGGCGGCCCCCUGGACGAAGACUGACGCUCAGGUGCGAAAGCGUUGGGAGCAAACAGG